rnacentral:lncRNA from 14 species
GGGUUAUAUUAUUGUUUCUUUGAAUUGACUUGCAGGAUGUAAGGGAUGCAUGCAGUGAUCACUAGCUGCUGGCCCUACAGAGAGGAGACUUAAGGAACUGCAUCCCAGAGCUGGACCUGCUUGCUGAAUAUGUGUAGCCUAAAAGAAACUAGAAGGCUGCAUUAUCCAAAGACAAGUUAACCCACCUAAAGAAAAAAAAAAAAAGAACAGCCUCUUUCAUGAUUGAUGGGGAAAUUGUCUGGCAGAAUGAGUAUAGGUCUGUGUUUCAAAGAGAAGUAUUUCUACACUCAAGUUCCAUCCCAGCUU